GUAGUAGCUGCUGCAGCCGCAGUCGUUGCUGUGCUGGGUGCCGCCGUCGGCGCGUCGUUUGGCCUGAAGAAGAAGAAGAAGUAGAAGAAGAAGAAGAAGAAGAAGAAGAAGCAGUAUCAUCUCUCCUCCUGCAACGAACUGACUGUGCGUGUGUUGUGUCUCGUGCGUAGUGGCCGUCCCUAUAUAAAUGCGCGAGCGCUGAGGGCUUGCGUAUUGUAUAUAGAGGACUCGGAGCAAGAGGAAAAAAAAAAAAAAAAAAAAAAAUUAAGUGAAAAUGAGGCUGCUGUUGGCGAGUGGCCUGUUGCUAGGGCUGCUGCUGGGCACGGGUGCCCUCAGUAGCGAGCAACUGAGCGAGAGCCUCGAGCGUAAACUCAACGAGACCAUGUCCGAGCACUCGGUGAGAUACACACCGCUCAACAGCACGGGCCGGCCUAACUACACGGCCUCCACGGCUUUCAACCCCAAGGGCAUGGGACAGCUCUACAACGUCACCAACAUGUUCAUCGACUUCAUCCAACCGAAACAGGCCUAUCCCGAAGGAAUGAUCCACCUCGAAAACGGGGAACCAGUCCUAGCCGAUCCAGCAACCGAAUGGCGCAUGAUAGUCCGUCACUACGGCGGUCUCGCGGGUCUAGGCCUCAGUGGUCUCUUCCUGGCAGCUCUUCUUCCCUGCAUCGGACUCUUCUUCUGCUGCUGUCGUUGCGCCGGCCACUGCGGCGCCCGGAGCGAGCCCUUCGACAAGAAGCACGACCACUGCCGCAAAGUCAUGCUGAGCUUCCUCCUCAUUGGUUUCGCCACUAUCCUCCUCUUCGGCGUCGUCUGCGCUUUCGUCACCAACGAGCGCAUGCACGAGGGAACCAAGGAACUGCCUCAGGCUGCGCAGAUCAGUUUGCAAGACCUGAAGCUCUACCUGAAGAACACCAGGUCGCAGAUCGAGAUUCUUUUGAAGGUCAACUAUGACGAACUCGCCCAGGCCCUCGACAGGAUACUGCAGGCCAGCGGGAAGAUCGUCACCGAACAGCUGGCCGAGUCGUCGCACGCUGUGAGCUUGAUGAAUUUGAACGAUAUCGUUCAGGGCUUGGAUAGUAUCAGGGCCGAUUUGAAGAUGAUGAACGACGUUACCAAGGAGCUGAGGAACAACGCGGCGCACCUGGAGAUUCUCGUGCGCAAAGUCAAGGCCAACCUGCUGCAGACACUCACCAACUGUAACACGCAGGACUGCAAGGACGUCAUGCACAAAUACAAGAUCAACGAGAUGACGGUCCAGGUCGAUUUCGACAGGUACAUGGACCGCUACUUUCCCAAGUUGCCGGAUAACGAAGUGACGGACGCGCUUCGCAACAUCAGCUACCUGCUGGAUGCGAAUAUCGUAGAGGAGGUGCGCAAAGGCAUGGAUCAGUUUAUGAACAUCCAGAAGGAGAUUCAGCACGCGGUUAAUGAGACCAUCCCCAUAGUAAAGGAUGCGAUUCAGCGCGCGGGCAAGUCCAUUGCUGGACUCGACAGCGAAGUCGUCCAGCUGAUUGACCGCAUCCAGAGGGACAUCGACAGGAAUUACAUGCCUCAGCUCGACCUUGCCAAACGACACAUAGACCAGUUUUCGCCGUACAGAUACUACUUGGGCUUAGGAAUUUCGGGUAUUCUCCUGAUCGUUCUGACUUUCUUGACUUUUGGUCUUCUGUGCGGCAUCUGUGGCAAGAGGCCCGACGGCUAUGGCGAUGAUUGCUGUAAUAAGGGAUCGGGUGCUCGAUUCCUCAUGAUGGCUGUCUGGAUCAUCUUCCUCUUGACAAGCAUAUUGAUGAUCAUAACGGUCGCGCACAUGAUCACCGGUGUCCUGGCAGAACGAGCCAUAUGCGAACCCCUCAAGAAUCCAAACGACAAUCGAAUGUUCGAAUUCGUCGACGAGCUUCUGCAGAUCAAAAAGAUUCUGUACCCCAAGAACCCGAAUGCCGACAUUAACAUGAGCCAUAUACUUAACUCUUGUCACAAGAAUCAAACGAUAUACGAGGUUCUAAAGCUAAACUACAUCAUCGACGUCAACGUUUUGAGAAGCUACAUCGAUCGUUACGAUAUCAACAAGACGAUCCAGAAGCUGGAAGAGAAAAUCAGUCUGUCGAAUCAUAAGGAGUACCAGAUCAUUAGUGAAACGGCCAGAGAUAAACUCAACGCUUUGGCUCAAAGCGGACUGAGCGAUCUCAAAUUCUAUCAGUACACCGAGAACUUGAAAGACAACAUCACCAACAUCAAUCUCGAAAAUCUCGCCACCAAGCUGCGAGAACUUGCCGGAAGAUUGUCGAGCGAUCACGAGGAAAUAAAGGAGGAUCUGCUGAAAAACGCGUACGACCUCGAGGGAUAUCAUCGGGACAUUGUUAUUCCCAUGACCAACUGGAGCAAUCAGCUGAGCAACAGUGCCAUAGAACUAGAGGAGCACAUUAAGUUUAACCAUACCUCCAUGGCUGAGGCUAUUCACGAUUUGGUUACAAAGGUCGACAACGCUCAGAAAUUCAUUAACAAACAAGGAAGUCAACACGUAAAAACGCUUGCUUCAGAGUUUGGAAAGGCUUUCAUACAUGAAGUAAAUAACUACCUCGAUAAUGUGAUAGAAGCUAUCUUAAAAGACGUCGGUAAAUGUGGGCCAAUAUCAAACGCUUAUAACGCAACGAUUGUUGCUAGUUGCAAUAAAAUUCUGGAUCCAUUCAAUGGAUUUUGGGCAAGUGUUGGAUGGUGCUUGAUUCUCUUCAUUCCCACAAUUAUUCUUUGUGUGAAAUUGAGUGCACUGUACCAGAAAUCGGAUCCUUACCCUGGCCCUUUAGUCGAAGCUGAAUAUUUAUAUGACGCAUAUGCGGACAGGGAUAACGUGCCCCUCGCUCACAUCCACGACAAAAAGUACGUUGCUCACGGCAGACACGGCCAUCAUCAUCAUCCGGGAGGCGGAUAUCCCGAGAGCUACGACGGCCCGGCAAUGGGCUACUCCGACCGGGAGAGGAUCAACGAUGCUCACCAGAGCACAUCACAUCAUGAUUCCCGAUACUCGGACCUUGCGCCCAAGUGAGUGGGAACCUUGCGGGGGGGCAACUCCUCGCGACUCUCGAUACACCUUAACACGAAUUGGGACUUUCCGAAUGGUGGCCCGCCGAGGUACGUGCCGGCUGCAGUCGCACCCCCGCUGAGCACCGAAUACGAGCGACCUCCUCCUUAUUACUAUCCUGGGCCAGGGGACAGAAAUUAGAACAUGAGUACCGUGGCAUGUACGAAGACAGCGCUGAGCACCGCGGCGAUGCACAGCCUAACUCGCAGCUACAGAAGAACCCUCGGCAAGAAGAGCAAACGGGAGUACGUCUGAGCUAUUCUCCCACGCAUACAAACACACAGACACGCCGACAUGCCACGGACAUAUUCCAAUUUCCCCCCGCGCGCACAGGAUGCCCCCCACAUGCACACCCGUCAUCACACACACGGAGCUGCAUAUGCUCCGCCUGCUCUAACCGCUGUGACAAACACAGCUUGUAUUUCACGCGCACGAAGCUGUACGGAGAUUAUGAACGAUGUACAUCGAACGAUGCGAUUCGUCGCCAUAUGCACGAACACGGGACUGUUUCUGAACUAUGCAGAGUUUUUUGAUUUUUUUUUUUUGUUUGUUUUUAAAGGGGGGAUUCCUUCUUUUUCUUACCUAAGUUGGCGAAGAUUUGUAAUUGAGACGAGAAAGUGAUUCCGGUAGACUCUCGAUGUAAGACUGAUCUCAGGGUUGCGGGAGAAAAAAAUUUCUCGGUAUCGGAGUAUUUAUAGGAUCGAAAAAGACUAACACGAUUAAUAUUAUAUUAUUAAAAGGCUAACGGCUGAUAAAAAUAGCUUGUUAAAGGCUAAUGGGAGUUCUACGGGAGGCGAGCCUAUCUAUUAUAUCAUUAUGAAAUCUUACGUCGCGAUGUGGAAGAGUGAAUUCAACACUCAGCGUAAUUCAGACACGGUCCGUGAACAACAAAGACGCAUAGAAUUCAGCCGCCGAUAAGGUGAAACGAUUUCUCUGACUUUGACUAUAUUGCGAUGUAUUUGUGAGCAUUUGCAUUUACUUGGGUGUAUUAAGUAUUCUUUGCUCGAUUCAAGGGCGACUUUAAUCAAAACGUUUUCGUACGUUCAAAAAAAUUAUCAUCAGUUUAAUUGUUUUCUUGGUGAAAUUUCAGAGAGAUUUUUUCAUCCUACGAGGUCCGUUAAAUAUGCCAAAGCUCUGAUUUUUCGAGACAAUGUUAUUUCAACUCAUAGCGUAACGACUAAUGAACAAAGAUCGAUUUCGACAAACACGAAUGACGAGUCGUUUCGAGCAUAUUCCUCUUUUUCCGUGUUCAAGCAAUACUCUACUCUGACUGAAGUUAAACUGUUGCCUUAUUCCUUCAAUUAUAUUAUUGUUUAUUUGUAUUUAUGACAUUAAUCAUUUUUGUUCUUACUAAUUGUAAAAUUAACAAAAUCUCUACUGCCAAUUAAUUGACCAUAUGUAUCAUUGCAUCAUGUAAAAUUUGAUAACUGCGGUGCAAUAUUCUAAUUGCGCGUUUCUUUAAAUAUCUAAUCCAGCCAUUUUUUAAAAUGAAAUGAAUUAUGCCAUAUUUAAUUGCCAAACCAUUUUGAAUAUUUAUCCGAGUAUUGAUUAGUAUAGGUAAACAUUUUUUACUUCAAUUGUUUAUUCGUGCUGUAUUUUGAACUGUUUUUACAAACUUCGGGAAAUUAAAAUGAACGUUUUCGGCAAAAAUGUAUGUUUAACUGUAUUUCAAUUUUCAAAAAUAAUAAAUGGUGGUGUCUAUUGCUACUGCAAUUACUGUUGAUAAAGUGUGUGUAAAUGAUGCAGAAAAUGGCGUCUUGAGAAAGGGCAGUGUCUCUGCAGUUCUUGACUAAGGGUCGCGGUAUUACGACGCUGACAAUUUAUAGUUAUAUAAAUACUUUGUGCAUACAAUUCUCUCUAGUUUUAUAUUGUUAUUGUUAGUUCUCUAUCAUUAUCAAAUAAUUCGUACCAUUCUUUACCGUCGAGUUUUUGCAUUUUACGUGUGUACGAAAUGUUAGAGCAUUAAGUCGGUUCCAAACAUCACACGUCCGUUGUACAGUCGACAGCUCGCGAUUAAGAUUUUUUAAUUUAUAAUUUUUGCCAAUGCAUUAAUUUUUAUGGAUAAUGAAAAAUAUGCCGCCCAUGCUGCCGUGUUAAAAAAAAAACGGGACAUAACGCAUUACACUAUUUUUUCAUGUAAAAUAAUUUUUCUGCUGAGUUUCUUAUUACAGAAUUAAUAUUUGUUCACUUCACAACGAAUCUUCGAAGGUAUAUUUUUUGUUUUAAAAUCAAUUUUGUUAGCUGAAACGUGUCAGCGCAUGGCCAGAAAUGGCUGUUUUUAGUUGCGUAUUUAAAUUAAACGAUAUAGCACAAAAUUAGAUUCUUUUUAAUAGCGAAUCAUGUGGUUACAUUGACAAAAGUGAGAAUUUAGAUGAUUGGUUCAGUUAAGAGAGCUAAUCGAAAGAAUUAGGAAAGUUGUUUAUAAGGAAUUACACGAAAAUUCCACUAUAUAUUAUUACUGCAUUUAACGUUCACCUAUUAAGAAACAAGGUUUAAAAUUAGUGUAUCAAUAUAUCAAUGGAUUUCGUACAAUGUAUGAGCAUGAAUGCGAAAGCGACAAUGAAAUGAAUGAAUUGCGGUGUUUUUUUUUUUAAUAUAAUAUCUAUAUGUGUAAUAGUACACGAAAAAUACGUGAUGAAUGUAUGAGAUUACAAAAUAUAUUGUAUUAUAAAUGGACACGUUUCUGUAGAAUAAAUACAAAAAAAAAUAAAUAAGAGCGAAAAACAAA